AAGUCACAGGGAACAAGGCAGAAUGAGGUUCAGUGGGGUGUGCCAGGUGUGUGUUGAUCAGCACCAAUGACAGCAUGAAACUGAUGUUCCAGGGACUAAGAUGAAGCAGUUGAAAUCACUGGAUCCCAGGCAGCUUCCAGCCAGCAGAGACAUUCUGUCUUCCCUACACUCGGGGCAGGUCUUGGCAGCGCCCUGCCUGACUCCAGCCUGUCCCUUCUCAUGCCUGGGAAAGCCCAGGAGACCGCGGCGCACUCACCCGGUGGCUGCCUCUGUCCAUGGUGUAAGAGAAUGCGUCUUCCAGGCUCAGCUGAUGUCGAGGAGGCAAAAGAAACAGAGGAAGAGACACGUGUCCUAAAGCAAGUCGCUGCGCUCAGAAGUGUGGAAGCAGAAGAGUUCGGUGGACUUGGGAAUGCUCCCUUUGUGAUAAAGCCCCAGGGUGGCUGCAACUUCGCUGAGAUCCGUGGAUUCUGCGAUUGCAUCUGUGUUCCCCCAUGCAUGAAUCUGUACCCAGAUAAAAUUCUCUUUGCUUUUA
ensembl:antisense 1700003G13Rik RIKEN cDNA 1700003G13 gene